ACGUAAGCGCGCUCAUGCUUCCUUUUCCGCAUUACUUGGGGCGAAUUGCUUUCGGAGUUCUUGCUUGAAGUCGGCCCAAGUGUCGAUGGUACAGAUUCCCUUGCCCAUCUCGCCAUGCUUCCGACGCCACCAUAGUUGGGCAGCGCCUCUAAGAUAAGUGGGUGCAGCGCCCACUUUCGAUGCCUCAUCGCGUACCCCAAUGGCAUCGAAGUAUUGAUCCAGCCCAAAUAGGAAGUUGUCUACGAUGGUGGCAUUUCGCGUACCAUCAUAGGUGUCGGGCUUUGGCACGUCAAUGCGGCGCGCAUCACUCGUGCUGGUGGAAGCUGGACUUAAGGAGAGUGUGCGCUUGUGCCAUGCCCAAUCCGAGCGGGCUUCCUCCACUUCCGCACGGACAGCCCGUAGUUCUUCCUGGACAAAACUACGAAGCUUUAGCAACUCAUCAUGAAAUGAACGAAACUCCCCUCGGAG
rnacentral:lncRNA from 1 species